rnacentral:lncRNA from 1 species
AUGUGUAUACAAUUAGGUAUAAAAUUUGGCAUAAAAUUAGGUGAAAAAUUAGGUCGUGUCAUUUUAACAUCUGAAUUUGUAAUACAUUAUUUUGGGAUAUUGGCCUAAAUAAUCGAAAGUAGACGUCAUUGGUUAUUGGCGGUCCCACCUUUUUAUUCUCCUGUCCCACAUUUCAACUAUUUUUCCUCCACCUGUCCUCUACAAACUGAUGUUUUAGGGCUUUUGAUCAGAGCUAGGAUUUGAGUCUAUUGAUGUAAAACGUAUCUCUAAACGGUUCUCAAAACCACUAGAUUUUUGUUAAUUGGAAGUUUAAACACCUGAAUUGUAACACCGUUUUCAUCAUUUGGGGCCCCAUUUCAAGGUAAGUUUUACAUCGGUAGACUCGUAUCCUCGUUCUGAUCAAAAGCCUUAAAACGUCAGUUUGUAAUUCGGAGAAAAGGAUCUGUCGGGGCCCAUUUUUUAUUUAUAGGUAUUAGAGCUCGAAAAUAUUUUAGUUGUUUGACCAGGGCCCAUUUUUUUCAGGGGCACGAUCUGCCGGAUUUAUUAUUUAUAGGUAUUAGAGCUCGAAAAUAUUUUAGUUGUUUGACCCUUCAAAAUUAAUUUUGGCUAAGUAGUAAAUCUGAGAAAAGAAAAAUGAAAAAGAAAGAUAUCGGAACUUUUACAGGUAUACGAAGGUGAGAAUUGCAGGUUUUGUGAAGAGGAAGAAGA